CGGACGGGUGAGUAAUGUCUGGGAAAUUGCCUGAUGGAGGGGGAUAACUACUGGAAACGGUAGCUAAUACCGCAUAACGUCGCAAGACCAAAGAGGGGGACCUUCGGGCCUCUUGCCAUCGGAUGUGCCCAGAUGGGAUUAGCUAGUAGGUGGGGUAACGGCUCACCUAGGCGACGAUCCCUAGCUGGUCUGAGAGGAUGACCAGCCACACUGGAACUGAGACACGGUCCAG
rnacentral:rRNA from 1 species